rnacentral:rRNA from 1 species
UACGGAGGAUGCAAGCGUUAUCCGGAAUGAUUGGGCGUAAAGGGUCCGCAGGUGGCAGUGUAAGUCUGCUGUCAAAGAAUGAGGCUUAACCUCAUCAAGGCAGUGGAAACUACACAGCUAAAGUACGGUCGGGGUAGAAGGAAUUCCUGGUGUAGCGGUGAAAUGCGUAGAGAUCAGGAAGAACACCGGUGGCGAAAGCGUUCUGCUAGACCUGUACUGACACUGAGGGACGAAAGCUAGGGGAGCGAAUGGG